ACGAACGCUGGCGGCGUGCCUCAUACAUGCAAGUUGAGCGCUGAAGGUUGGUACUUGUACCGACUGGAUGAGCAGCGAACGGGUGAGUAACGCGUGGGGAAUCUGCCUUUGAGCGGGGGACAACAUUUGGAAACGAAUGCUAAUACCGCAUAAAAACUUUAAACACAAGUUUUAAGUUUGAAAGAUGCAAUUGCAUCACUCAAAGAUGAUCCCGCGUUGUAUUAGCUAGUUGGUGAGGUAAAGGCUCACCAAGGCGAUGAUACAUAGCCGACCUGAGAGGGUGAUCGGCCACAUUGGGACUGCGACACGGCCCAAACUCCUACGGGAGGCAGCAGUAGGGAAUCUUCGGCAAUGGACGAAAGUCUGACCGAGCAACGCCGCGUGAGUGAAGAAGGUUUUCGGAUCGUAAAACUCUGUUGGUAGAGAAGAACGUUGGUGAGAGUGGAAAGCUCAUCAAGUGACGGUAACUACCCAGAAAGGGACGGCUAACUACGUG
rnacentral:rRNA from 1 species